ACUCUUUUUCAGAUAAACAAAAAAAUACUGCGUCUUUCUCUUCACUUUUUUCCGGAACAACAUUUAAUCACAACCAUUUCUUUUUUGCUUUUCUGCCUAUUUUCGAUUCGAAGUUCACCAUAUUUGGCAAUUUAUAGUUCAUGUUCACCAUUUCGUACUGUGAAUUAAUUCACCUCUUUGACCAAUAAAACCAACAUCUCUUUUCCAAAUCUCUUUCCACUGAUUUUCAAGUACAAAGACCAUUAAUGGUUUAAUGGUCUUUGUGUCACUGUGGAAUUCAAAAAUUUCUCAUGAAAUCAACUCCUAAUCCCCCCUAAAUCCCCUAUAAAUAGAUAGAGAGAGAUAGGGGUGAGGAGGAGGAUUUUUUUGGGGAAAAACUUGGAGAUUCUGGAGGCGCAUCACGUAACCAAAAUUCUCAAAGAACACUCAAGAAAUCAAAUCCUACGAACGUUGUUUGAACUCCAUGAGUUCAAGUCGAGUUCUAGUGGCGGAAAUUUCAUUGUGAUAAGUUAGUUGUCCCAAGUUCGUUGCUCUGAAAAAGUCCGAAUGAACUCCAUCCCUUGAAUAUUCCGAGAUGGGCCAAGCAGACCCGAGCUGUCGAGUCUAGCUACACGCUAAAGUUCAAAAUGGACUGAUACAGUGCCGGUAUACAGCAUUUAUACACAAAUAUACGGGUCCCUAAACAGGGGAGUCGAAGAGUAAGCUGAUUAUACCAUUAGAGGACUAAAGUUCUGUAUACAUUACUAAAAUACAGUCAUAUAUACAUUGAGUAUACAGAAAAUGCUGAAAAAAGAGCUGUGAUAUACAACUGAUAUACCGGAAAGAAAAUGGACCCAAAAUCCAUAAAGUUUAAGGCCCAAAACUGGGCAGCUUAUUGAUGGGACAACAAAGGGGCCCAACUCCAACUCUUUAUAUUUUAUUCCCUUGUAAUUUAUAAUUUAUUCUUGUUUAUUUUUAUUAACCUUAACUUUAAUUAAUUAAUCUAGUGGUUCCCUAUGUUGUUGCCACUAUAUUUUAUCUC